GUUAAAUACUAAGCAACUGUCAUCUGCUUGAUGAAUGUCAGAAGUGAGAGCCCUAGUUGACUUGCAAGACUGCGUGGCUCCAGAGUAAGAAGGGUGGGGAGUGUAACACUGAUGAGUCUCUAAUCUGGCUCUCUGGUGCAGGAGGGAGAUGACCUCGAUCUUGCGGAGCCCGCAGGCUCUCCAGCUCACUCUGACCCUCAUCAAGCCUGAUGCCCAGUUGCUCACCCCCUGAUUCUGGAGGCUGUUCAUCAGCAGAUUCUGAGCAACAAGUUCCUUAUUGUGCGAAUGAGAGAACUUCUAUGGAGAAAGGAAGACUGCCAGAAGUUUUACCGAGAGCAUGAAGGACGUUUUUUCUAUCAGCGGCUGGUGGAGUUCAUGGCCAGUGGGCCGAUCCGAGCCUACAUCCUCGCCCACAAGGACGCCAUCCAGCUCUGGAGGACCGUGAUGGGACCCACCAGAGUGUUUCGGGCACGCCACGUGGCCCCAGAUUCAAUUCGUGGGAGUUUUGGCCUCACCGACACCCGUAACACAACCCACGGCUCAGACUCAGUGGUUUCAGCCAGUAGAGAGAUUGCAGUCUUCUUCCCCGAUUUCAGUGAACAGCGCUGGUACGAGGAGGAGGAGCCCCAGUUGCGCUGUGGCCCUGUGCACUACAGUCCCGAGGGUGGCAUCCACUUUGCUGCUCCAGCAGGAGGCCCGGGGCCAGCCUGACACAGGCCUGUGAGUGUGUGAAGACUGCAGCAUCGCCCAACCUUCUCCACAGACCUCUGGUCCCAGAGCAGUCUUCUAGGACCAGGGAGGCGAGGGCUGCUUGCGCCAUCUCUGCUGGGCACCACCACCUGCAUGAGGGUUAAGCUCCUCACUGCCACCUCUUCUAGAAUCUACUAUCUACCUCUUCUCUGGAAUGUUCAUGGCUGGUUCCGAGGAAUGAUGGCUCAGGUUUUUUCUGAGAACUGUUCAUCAUUUUCAAGGAGAAGCUCGCCCAGCUGACUUGCCUGAAAAAUGCAGUGACUCUCUAUUAGUCACGUUUGGUCUGUUUUCCUUAAUAAAAGUCAGUAUGCUACUGAAUAAAGGCUGGGAGCACUACUCGGUGCUCUCUCUCUAACUGGAGCGUUUGAACCCGUCCUAAGUCAAGUUUCUGGUCUAUGCUAAGUGAAGACAGAGUCAAAAUCUCCCAGGAGGUUCACAUGGCGUACAGCUUAUGUAGAGCACGAAGGCCCCUGGCAUAGGCCUGCAUCCUGGAAGAAGGGGCACCUUUGGUUUGAGCAAAAGUAUGUCUGCCAGUAGUGGCAUAUUGUUAUGACUUUUUUUUUUCUGAUUUGCACAGAGCCACUAAAGGCAGCCAUGUCUCUGCUGUAGCUGAGGAUGACAGUUACCUACUAUGCAAAACCACCUCAAGAUUUCAUGGCUUAAAAUAAUGAUGACUGAACUUGUCUAUAUGUCUGUGGAUCAGCUGGGUGAUUCUGCUGGGCUCACUUGGAUGCACAUGGCUGCGUUCAGCAGUUGGGUCCAGCGUGGUCUUUCCUCCUGAGCUGCUGC